AUUGAACGCUGGCGGCAUGCCUUACACAUGCAAGUCGAACGGCAGCGGACCUUCGGGUGCCGGCGAGUGGCGAACGGGUGAGUAAAGUAUCGGAACGUACCUUUCAGUGGGGGAUAACGUAGCGAAAGUUACGCUAAUACCGCAUAUUCUCUGAGGAGGAAAGCAGGGGACCUUCGGGCCUUGCGCUGAUGGAGCGGCCGAUAUCAGGUUAGCUAGUUGGUGUGGUAAAGGCCUACCAAGGCGACGAUCUGUAGCGGGUCUGAGAGGAUGAUCCGCCACACUGGGACUGAGACACGGCCCAGACUCCUACGGGAGGCAGCAGUGGGGAAUUUUGGACAAUGGGCGAAAGCCUGAUCCAGCCAUGCCGCGUGAGUGAAGAAGGCCUUCGGGUUGUAAAGCUCUUUCGGCCGGGAAGAAAUCGUGUGGGCUAAUAUCCUGCAUGGAUGACGGUACCGGAAUAAGAAGCACCGGCUAACUACGUGCCAGCAGCCGCCGUAACAC
rnacentral:rRNA from 1 species